rnacentral:rRNA from 1 species
GACGAACGCUGGCGGCGUGCCUAAUACAUGCAAGUAGAACGCUGAAGGAGGAGCUUGCUUCUCUGGAUGAGUUGCGAACGGGUGAGUAACGCGUAGGUAACCUGCCUGGUAGCGGGGGAUAACUAUUGGAAACGAUAGCUAAUACCGCAUAAGAGUAGAUGUUGCAUGACAUUUGCUUAAAAGGUGCAAUUGCAUCACUACCAGAUGGACCUGCGUUGUAUUAGCUAGUUGGUGGGGUAGCGGCUCACCAAGGCGACGAUACAUAGCCGACCUGAGAGGGGGAUCGGCCACACUGGGACUGAGACACGGCCCAGACUCCUACGGGAGGCAGCAGUAGGGAAUCUUCGGCAAUGGACGGAAGUCUGACCGAGCAACGCCGCGUGAGUGAAGAAGGUUUUCGGAUCGUAAAGCUCUGUUGUAAGAGAAGAACGAGUGUGAGAGUGGAAAGUUCACACUGUGACGGUAUCUUACCAGAAAGGGACGGCUAACUACGUG